AAAUGCUGCAGAAGAAUCAGUCCCUGCUGAUGAAAGAUAGGAAACAGGGCAGAGUGGAGAAUAUGAUUGCCCUGACUUACUAGAGGAGCUUUCCUCCAGGCUGGAGUAUUGUCCCUACUGUGAGGUUUGUAGACAUGGAGGGACAGCUUCUCAAAGCAGCUAGUGAAAGCAGAUGCGCGUUCUAGGGCCAGCAUGUGGAAACACUCUGCUUACUCCAUUCCAGCCCUGAAUAAAGGACCUCCAGCCUCCCUGAAUCUACAUGAAAUGCAGGAGACCUGGGUUCAAUCUCUGGUUCAGGAAGAUCCUCUGAAGAAGGGAACAGCAACCCACUCCAGUAUUCUUGCCUGGAAAAUCCCAUGAACAGAGGAGCCUGGCAGAUUGCAGUCCACGGGGUCGCAAAAAGUCAGAAAGGACAGAGCAACUAAUGCGACUUCCACGAGCCUCCUGGAUCAGCUCGGAUCUCUCCAGGGUGCUGAAAACUUCCAGCCUGUUGUUUCCACAGUGACUGAGAUGUUGCAUGAGUCCUGUAGUCACAUCUAUACUGGACUGAAUAUCUCCUCAGUUCUCCUAGUGUGUCUUCACUAGCCAGGAGUGGUCUCCCUUGUCCCUGUGCCGUGUCUACACUGACUGCACCCACUCCCUGCACUGACCCAGGAUUCUGUUUGUUUAUCUUGCUUUACGGAGUUGGUUAGCUCCCUAUUUCCUCUGCUGUUCCUGGUGUCCUGGAGUCUUUGCCUCUGCAGCUGCUCCUGAAAGUCCUGAUCCCUGGGGUCUGAAAGCCCAGGCCUGGGACUGGCCUUGGACUCUGCUCCACGCAGACAUAGCUCUGGAGCAGGGUCUCCAUCACAGCUCUGAGAACAGCUCUGGCUCCAGGCAGAUUCUCAAACAAGGAGAUGUGUCUUUGUGUCUUCUUGAAAUGGAGCAGGACCAUAUGGUCCUUGCCACCCCCACCUCACCCCCCAUGUCUUCUGCCUGCGUUUUGCCUGUGGAAAACUUUAGUCAGAGGAUAAGUUUAAUCAGAGAAAUGAGAAAAGCUGAAACAAAGGAAAACAGUCAGAGAAAACUAAAUAAUAAUAACGUGGUCAUCAAGCAUAGUCAAGGACUUUUAGUUCUUUCUCAAGGGCUAUAGAUGAUAUUCUGAGCAUAUUCUGUGAGCUGUCUUAUAGUUACCAAAACACCAGGUGGGGAAGUUAACUACGUGAUGACCAGAUUGUACCCAGGACAUGAGCUGCCACAAUUCUGAGAAUUGACUGCAAAGGAAUGGGAACAAACGGACCCUGGAAAUGAAGAUUAACUGUUCCUAAAACAAUCAAGAUGGUGCUGGUCAGACCAAUUUGAAGAUGAUUGUUAGAGAUAACUGUGCUGUUUCUGCAUGUACCCUCCCCCCAACUCUGUCUAUAAAAGCUCUCACUGCCUGCUUUUUGGGGUGGAGUUGGCCUUUGGACAGAUGUCUGCCACCCCCACCCCCCAGUUGCCAGCAUCUGAAAUAAAGCAAAUGUUCCUUUCCA
rnacentral:lncRNA from 1 species